AUUUCCUGUUCUGCAAUAAGUUUUGCACAGUUUUUAAAGUAUCUAGUGUAUAUAAGGACAAGCCAUUCUCAGUCAAGCAUGAAACUGAAUCUGAGCAGGAAAAGAAGAAAGCUGAAAACACACUGAGGAUUAUGGGAGAGGGGCAAGUGCAUGAAGCUUCUCAAUGACAUACAGACACUCUAAAAGCUCAAGAGAUCAAUUAUUCAACUUCAAGAACUGAAAUUUGAACACAGAUUUUGAGCUUCCAAAUCAGGAGAAAAAGAAGUGUUCUAUAAGAAGUUUGGACAAGACUCUGCAAGAAGUUAAGAGGUCCUUAAAGGCAACUGUGAAUUAACGGAGACUAGUUUUGAGAAAAUCAGUCCUGAUUUGUUUCUCCUGGAGUUUUCUUCUUUAUGUGAUCCUUCAUAAAAGCUGCUAAUAUGGGAAAGAUUGAAAUCAGCAAGUUUCUGGCUGUAAGCUAAAAGAGGCUCUUGAAUCAUAUUUCCGCCUGCUUAGCAAAUUUCUCUUGCGACAAUUGGAUGUUAUUUGGGGUUCCAUACUAGCAGGAAGAAGUACAAGCAAAGCUAAGUCAUUUUGAGAAUAAAUAUUAUCUCUCUAUAUAUUUGUAAAUGUUAUUUUCUUUUUUUUUGAGGUUUAUGAUUGAUCCUUGGCAUGUGUCCCCUUGUGUAUUGCUCUACUAAAAAUAGCCUAAAAAAGAAUUUUCCCCUCGAUGUGGAGCUUCUCUUUAGUUACAAUUCUACUUUCUCCUUCACUUGAGUAUCAGUCUUCAGAGAACUACCAUAACAAAGGAGUGGAUACAGAUAUACGCAAAAAAGUCUAUGAGAAAAUUAGUACAUUAAAUUUGUGAAAGCUCAUUUAAAGUAAUUUUCUACUAACAAUUUUAAUCAAAUGUAUUAAUCAUAUUUCUAUGCUUAGUGAUGUUAAAUAAAAAUUUAAAAGGUGGCAAUCAAUAAACAGAGAUAAAAGCUUCUCAAGAAUAAAUGAAAGGAAGUAAUAAAAAGACUCACUAAGCUGAAUUGCCUCCUAUCAACAGCAGCUGAUAAAAUAUUAAAAGAUUUGCCUUGUGUAAUGUCUCUGGAGAGCUGUCUUACUGAUGUACGAGGCCAUGAUUGACAACUUUGAGACUUUGCUGGAAGCGACAAAAGUAUAUCUAUAAUAUUAUGCUGAAUUGCAUAGGUCUUUCUUCUUAAAUGAGGCUAGAAAUAACAUACCACCAAGUGUUUGGCUUUUAGGAAAUUGAGCAUUUUCUUUAGUUCUAGCUGCAGUUUAAUUUCCUCAGAAUUAGACAUUAUGCGGUAUCUGGAACGUUAAAAAAAAAAAAAAGCAAAAACAGAGUAUUGUACCUAAUGAUAUGUCAAAUAAUUUUGGAGGAAUUAAGAAAUCACUGGAAGAAAUUACAUGGGUGGGUAAUGGUUUUUAUGUCACAAUAAAUAAUUAGUAAUAUUUACUGACACAUUUCAUGUGCCUGGUACUGAGCUAAAUGAUUUAUGUGCAUUGUUUGUAUUAAGCCCCCAAAAUUCUGUGGUAUAUGUAAUGAUAUUUCCAUUUUUCUUGAGAUAAGGAACUGAAACUCAGAAAAGUUAAGGAACUUGUCCAAGAUUAUAGUAAGUGGCUUAGUUCAAUUUUGAAUCUAGAUCAAUCUGACUCCAACCAGCAUGAUGAACUGAAACUGACUAUGAGGCUGGUGACACUCUAGGCAUUUAUUCACAAGAGGUAUUGUGAUGACAUGUGAGAGAAUGUUGGAUGAAGGAAGCACAUACUAGAAAGAUAGGAAAGACCAGAAAACACAGGGAAGUGCUAUUUAUUUGCUUUCCUAGUUCCAGUAACUUGGUCUAAUGGGGAGGAUGAAAGUAGACAGAUACCUGAAAACACUUUGAGAUUUAUGUAUAAGCAGCAUGACUUCAGUGACCAAGCCACACAGAAUCUGGGAGUGGAACAUUUUCUUUGGUCAUUAUGCCACUGCGGCAUGGUUUGUUAGUGCAGUGAGAACUAAAGUAUAGUGUGGUAACCUGAAACUGUUAUGGUUAUGGGUACACCUGGGUGGGUAGCUGUUCACCCCUUCACAGAGGGUAGGAGUGGUGAUAGCAAAGUAGCUCUUCGCAGUAACUUUCAGAACAUAGACAUUAUGUAAGAUCUGAAGUUUGAAAACCUGAAACAAAAGCAGAGCAUUAUAUCCAAGCACAUUGGAGACAACUGUGGAGGAAUCAAGGAACAUCUAGCAGAGAUUUAAUGUUUUAGGGACUGUUUUUUAUUUCAGAAGGUAAUAAGUGUAAAACAGUCAAACUCUAGGCAUAGGGAUGAACAUUAUUUUGUGUCAUAAAUUUGUCUAAUAUAGUUGCUGCUUCAGCAUCCAGUUUUGGCUUGUCAUGGUCAAGGUGACCAGUCAUGCCCUGUCACCUUUGGUUUUAUUAAAAUUUUCCCUCCUUUAGUGGUUAUUUGUGAUAUAGCCCUGUUGUUCCCCAUCUCACUGACCCCAAAUUCAACACAUGCCACAGCUGCUGGCCACAGUGAAAACUAAUGAUCAACACCAGUCAUGUGAAUAAGACGUCCCUUCAUGUGUUUUCUUUAAGCUAGCCUAUCCACAGCCCCAUGGGAAAGCCUAAAGAAUAGUACCUGUGGAUUAUAAUAAAGACGUCUUACUGGUUCUUGCUCUCUAUCCCUCUCUCUACACACUGGUCAAGUACACUCUUGUCUCCAGACUUCCCAUUGGCCUCCUGUCAACACCUGUACCCACUCUGGACCUGGGAAUAAUAAACUUCUUUUUUUUUUUAAUGUAUUUUGGUUUCACUUCCUCAUUGUAUCUCACCUGACACACACAUACUAUAGUGUUCUCAAUAUUAUUUAAUGUGUUUAACAAAUCAUAACAGAUAAUAUAUGAUUGACACUGUGCCUCCUGAUUUGAUGCAAUAUGGACUAUUCCACAUCACUGAUGAAGUAGUCAUACAAAAAAUAUUUAUCUUGAAUCAAAGCAAGAUUUUAUACCAAAAUUCUAGUUCAAGUUACCUGAUAGAGGAACAUAUUAAACAAUACUAUGUGUAAACAAUACUAUGUGUAAACAAUCAGAAAAAUAAUAGAUUGUAGCCUUCAAAAAACGAUGGCCUUACAAAACAAAUAAACAAAAAGUUUGUGUGGGUGUGUACAUGCAAGGGCUAAUCUCAAAUGCAGAAAGACCAGAAUACAAUAACAAAUAUAAUUCUUGAAAGUGGAUUUCAUCUUGGUUUACCAAAAAUAGCUAUGAGGGAAAUUUGGGUAAGAAUUAGAGAAUUCUGAAUAUAGAAUGAAUUAAAACAUAUUAUGAAUUAAGUUAAUAUUUUUGAUGUUUUCUUUUGAUAUGUUCUUUUAGAAUAUGUAAUAUCCCUAUUUAUUGGAGAUGUGUGCUAAAUUAUUUACAAAUAUUUGGGUAUCUGAAAUUUACUUUCAAAUGCACCAAAAAUAAUAGCUAUACAAAAAGAAAUACAUUAAAUUUACUCUAUAGUAGUAGUUAUUCUUUCUGAGAGGUUUACACAGUAUUUUCCUGUUCUUUUGUAUGUAUGUAUUUUUAAAAGAACGUAGGCCUGGCGCAGUGGCUCACGCCUAUAAUCCCAGCACUUUGGGAGGCCGAGGUGGGCGGAUCACGUGGUCAGGAGAUCGAGACCAUCCUGGCUAACACGGUAAAACCCCGUCUCUACUAAAAACACAAAAACAAAAUUAGCCAGGCGUGGUGGCGGGCGCCUGUAGUCCCAGCUAAUCAGGAGGCUGAGGCAGGAGAAUGGCGUGAACCCGGGAGGCGAAGCUUGCAGUGAGCCGAGAUCAUGCCACUGCACUCCAGCCUGGGCGACAGAGCGAGACUCCGUCUCAAAAAAAACAAAAACGAAAACAAAAACAACAUAAAUAAAUUGAUAAUAUAUCUAUUUUGAUACAGUCAUGGUUAACAUAAAUAAUCCUGGUUAUAUCCAUAUAAAACCAUGAAUAUACAGUAAUAAAUAUUAUAAUUACAAGUAAAUCACCAUAAAUAAAUUCUGUUUUCAAUGUUUCUACU
rnacentral:lncRNA from 1 species